rnacentral:lncRNA from 1 species
UAAAUUAGGCCACCCUUAAAAAAUUGUUUGUUUGGCAUUGCCGACCCACACUAUCAGCAGGUGGGUAGGUAGGUAGGGAUUUUUUUUUUUUUUUUUUUUUACAUUUAAAAGAUUUAAACAUGUAAAUCAUGAAGUCUCUAGAUCAAUGUUGUCUAAAGCAUUGCAGCAUUGUUGUGUGUACAUGCUGGUGGUUUCUUUGAAAGGGGUCAACCGUCAAUGUCACAUUCUACAUCAUAUGGAUAAUUUCAUGUAAGACAGUCAGUUUUAUUGGCAGAGUUAACCAAAGUACCCAGAAAAAAAACACAGAACUGAGGCAGGAAACUGACAAAUUAACCAUAUAAAAUGUAUGACGUGAAAAUUGAACUUUUAUUGUGGGACUGCCCAUUGAACAGAGGCCUGAUGUCACAUCUUGAAGUUGUGGUCACAGUUUGGUAAAAUUACCAUAAGUUAAAUGGCUCAACCACUACGGCUCCUUGUACAAAUGGACAAAGAUUUAAAACUUUGAUUGUUUGCUUUGGUUUUAUAAACAUCACUUUCUACACCAUAUGGGUAAUUUCAUGGCAGUCAGUUUUAGUGGCGUACUAAACCGUAGUACUUGAAGGAAAACGCCAACCUGCGGGAGGAAACUGACUAACCUUAUCACAUAUGACAUGAAAAUCAAACCUUAAUUUUGCAACUGCCCAACUAGGGCUCAAACCAAUACCUAGAGGCUAGUAAUCAUACAUGUAAGGUGUGACGAACUACCAUACAAACACGCCUACUACUGCCCCUGAUAAGUUUUGAGGAUAAAGGAUCUGUACCAAAUUAGGAUAGCAAAAUAUUAAAAAUUUGGAAGGUUGGCACAAAUAGACAUGGUGUUUAUACUAAUAUUAUCCAAGUGCAAGGUUUUUCAGGGCUAGGUUUAAAACGUAUGAUAAAUUCAAAAUGGAAAUAUGCAGCAGGCAGCAGGACAGACAAUUUUUGCAGAUAAAUAAAUUAUGGGUUGUAAUGCUUGUUUGAUUAACAGAAAUCUGGACAUGCAUUACAUGAAUACAGAUAAAUUAAUGAGCCCUUAGAAUUG